rnacentral:ncRNA from 1 species
UUGGCAAACCAGGCGAAAGUUUGGGACGCAAAGCUAGAGGGGCUUUUCGCGCAAGCGAAAUGCCAGCCAGUUGC